rnacentral:rRNA from 1 species
ACUCAAAUGAAUAGACGGGGACCCGCACAAGCGGUGGAUGAUGUGGAUUAAUUCGAUGCAACGCGAAAAACCUUACCUACCCUUGACAUGCCCGGAAUCCCGCAGAGAUGUGGGAGUGCCCGAAAGGGAGCCGGGACACAGGUGCUGCAUGGCUGUCGUCAGCUCGUGUCGUGAGAUGUUGGGUUAAGUCCCGCAACGAGCGCAACCCUUGUCACUAGUUGCUACGAAAGGGCACUCUAGUGAGACUGCCGGUGACAAACCGGAGGAAGGUGGGGAUGACGUCAAGUCCUCAUGGCCCUUAUGGGUAGGGCCUCACACGUCAUACAAUGGCCGGUACAAAGGGCUGCCAACCCGCGAGGGGGAGCUAAUCCUGGAAAGCCGGUCGUAGUCCGGAUUGCAGUCUGCAACUCGACUGCAUGAAGUCGGAAUCGCUAGUAAUCGUGGAUCAGCAUGUCACGGUGAAUACGUUCCCGGGUCUUGCACACACCGCCCGU